UUGAGCUUUCUGUACGGCAUGUAUAUAUGCAUAUAUAUAUAUAUAUAUAUGUGCAUGUAUGUGUAUAUAAGUCCAUUAGUUUAAUCAAUUUCGUGUGUUGCACCAGUGUUUCCUUCGAGCAUUGGCCGCUAGCACCGCCGAUCUCGAAACCCUAUCGAGGAAGUCGGUGUGGAUACCGGUAGAGGCUCACGUGUGGGGCGUUUGGUCGACGAAUCGAUAUUAACCAGUUCCCGCUUGAAGCACGGGCUAAGAGGGCGUCACUUGGGGUUGGUUUUUGUCCUACUUCAAUUCCUCGAGGGGCUACUCCCAAGUCGCGACAGCUUCUGAAGAUGGCUGGCAAAGAUGAUUCCACCACCAAGACAGCGAUUGUGACAUCAAGACGAUAAUGCCUUGUCCACCAGAUCAAAAAUCGCUAGUCCGAGGAUGGAAAUGGGAAGAGGAGAGGCAAAGAGAGAGGGAGCCACCAGCAACAAACACAACCAGGAGAGGGAGGAUGGUCAUGGGUUUCUGAUCCCAACGACAGUAGUGCCGAAUGCGCCCGGUCAAAGCCGGAAACCUGGUGAAGCAGCUGGACUUAUGGUUUCCUAGUUCUUGGCGUAGAUAGGAAUGAAGUCUAUCAAUUGCUAUUGUGAAAUAAAAUUAAAAUAAAUUAAAAAUUAAAAUAAAAAACCCUAUUUGUCUCCCUUAUCGUCUACCCUCUCUCUCUUUUCCUCUCCUCUGCCAAACUUGCUCUGCCACUAGCCAAGCCAUCAUUAGAGCUCCGGUCGGCUCACUCAUCACAGCCGACCCUUUCCUAUGCUUAGCACCUCUCUCUCUUCUUCUCCCUCUUCUAUUGGCUAUUGUAUCGUGGGAUCUCUCUUUGAGAUAUGGAUUAAGUUAGGGGCGCCCCCGUCGGCGACCCCCAAUCAAGCUAGCCGGCGGGAGCCGCCUCUCCCCACUUAACUAAGAUUCAAGGGGUGCAGCCCAAAAUUAAAAAGAAAAAAAAUGGGAGCUUCAACGCAUCAAUGGAGUAUUGAUCUGAGCAAUUCAUCAUCAUCAUCAUCUUUUUCUUCAUCUUCGUGUUGUAUUAAGUGUUUCGACCAAUUCAUAUUAAUGAAAGCUCAGCAGCAUUAAUCUGC